rnacentral:lncRNA from 1 species
GGGGGGGAGUGGGAGAAAGUAGAGGGUUUGGAUGAAUGCCGGGGUGCAGAAAAGGCAGUCUUUUCAGCAUUUCGGGGCCCACAGCCUCACAGCGCUGCUUGCUUCUCAGCCAAGUGGAAACUGCACUCGGCACAGCGGCAGAUGAUCAGCUGCACUCAUAUUACCUUAUGUCACCAAGACGGUGAAGACAAGUUUCUGAAAUGAUUUUUCAUCCAAAGCCCUGAAAUGAUUUUGGGAAAGUCGAUAUUUUAAAAGGCCAUUUUCCUGAGAUAAGAACUGAGUUUGACGUCUGGGAUGAGGAUCUUGAUCAAGAGAAACAACCUUCACACCAAAGGGGGAUGCCUUGCCUGAAAGAGUGAGCUAACUGUGUUAAAUUUAGAAAAGAACAAUGGAGUUGACUUUAGCAUGUUUUCUACUGUGAUCUCUGUUACCCAGAAACAAGUACUAAAUGACGUUAAUGUCACUUUAAUUCUUUAAAAUGUUAAGUGGAAAUGGGGAAAAAGAACAAUCACUGGGCAUGAGAAAAAUUGCUGUCUUAAAAAAUCCAACAUCUAGAAUUAUAUGAAUAAGUACCCCCCAGAUACUCAGCAGUUGUCAAUAAUAUUUUUAACAGGGCUUGGAUCACCAGAAGUCAGGCAUGGGCACCUCAGCCCCCAGUGUUUUGUGGCCGCGAGGUGGCUGGAGACAGCUUAGUGUUUUCCCACCUUACAUCAGAUAGAAAAAAGUUGCUAAGAGCCCAGCAGUGCUCACGCACAUGAUGUAAAAGUGAAAAUGCACACAGAAUUCAAUUACAUCUUGCAAGAAAAGUGACUGAGACAUGUCACAAAAGUUGGGCAAGGAAGAAUUACCCAACUAACGUCAGAGUUCCUAUAUCAGACUGUGAUCACUUUAGAUUUGCCAAAGAAACAAAAUAAAUGAUGAAUUAAUCCUUGAUAUUACUCUAAU